rnacentral:rRNA from 1 species
UACGUAGGUGGCAAGCGUUGUCCGGAUUUAUUGGGUUUAAAGGGUGCGUAGGCGGCUUAAUAAGUCAGUGGUGAAAGCCGAUCGCUUAACGAUCGAACUGCCAUUGAUACUGCUAGGCUUGAGUAUAGUUGAGGUAGGCGGAAUUGACAGUGUAGCGGUGAAAUGCAUAGAUAUUGUCAAGAACACCAAUUGCGAAGGCAGCUUACUAAAGUAUAACUGACGCUGAGGCACGAAAGUGCGGGGAGUCAAACAGG